UGCAAGUCGAGCGGACCGACGGGAGCUUGCUCCCUUAGGUCAGCGGCGGACGGGUGAGUAACACGUGGGUAACCUGCCUGUAAGACUGGGAUAACUCCGGGAAACCGGGGCUAAUACCGGAUGCUUGAUUGAACCGCAUGGUUCAAUCAUAAAAGGUGGCUUUUAGCUACCACUURCAGAUGGACCCGCGGCGCAUUAGCUAGUUGGUGAGGUAACGGCUCACCAAGGCGACGAUGCGUAGCCGACCUGAGAGGGUGAUCGGCCACACUGGGACUGAGACACGGCCCAGACUCCUACGGGAGGCAGCAGUAGGGAAUCUUCCGCAAUGGACGAAAGUCUGACGGAGCAACGCCGCGUGAGUGAUGAAGGUUUUCGGAUCGUAAAACUCUGUUGUUAGGGAAGAACAAGUACCGUUCGAAUAGGGCGGYACCUUGACGGUACCUAACCAGAAAGCCACGGCUAACUACGUGCCAGCAGCCGCGGUAAUACGUAGGUGGCAAGCGUUGUCCGGAAUUAUUGGGCGUAAAGCGCGCGCAGGCGGUUUCUUAAGUCUUGAUGGAAAGCCCCCGGCUCAACCGGGGAGGGUCAUUGGAAACUGGGGAACUUGAGUGCAGAAGAGGAGAGUGGAAUUCCCGUGUAGCGGUGAAAUGCGUAGAGAUGUGGAGGAACCCAGUGGCGAAGGCGACUCUCUGGUCUGAACUGACGCUGAGGCGCGAAAGCGUGGGGAGCGAACAGGAUUAGAUACCCUGGUAGUCCACGCCGUAAACGAUGAGUGCUAAGUGUUAGAGGGUUUCCGCCCUUUAGUGCUGCAGCAACGCAUUAACACUCCGCCUGGGGAGUACGGUCGCAAGACUGAAACUCAAGGAAUUGACGGGGGCCGCACAAGCGGUGG
rnacentral:rRNA from 1 species